GGAUCAGGUAGGAAUACCCGCUGAACUUAAGCAUAUCAAUAAGCCGGA
rnacentral:rRNA from 1 species